GAGAUGCACCAUUUCACAACUUCAGCAAAAGCCAAAGCAGCCAACAAAGCCACAGCCCUAUCGGCUGUACUGGGCUCUGCCUUUUGGGCAGCUCGCCGGCCACUCCCCAAAAGCAGAGCAUUCCAUCCUUUCUCUUUUUAAACCCACGUCAUCAUCUGAUCAUAAUGGAAAUCAAUCUCCUCAAACCACCAUGCAAAGGCGUAUCCAUGGCAACCUCAAAAGGAAGGACACAGAGAUGAUGCUUCAGUGGCUGCAGCAGGAAAAGUUAUUUCAAGCUUCCUUUACAUUUUCAAGUCCUUACUCCCACCCAAGCCAACACCAGCAUUCCCACCUCUCAGCAGAUAACCUUGCUGAAAAAGAAAACUGGCCCUAUUAGGGCCCACCCCUUCCCCUCUCCUCUGAGGACUUGAUUUAGCAAUCGUCUUUUCUCUUGUGUCUUCAUUGCACCCUGUCUACUGGAUCUUACAUGGCAUCAGAAAACCCAUAAACAAGACUUCCAUUCUAGGAAAAACAAGUCCCUGCUACCUCUUCCACAAGCUGCCACCAUUCUGUAUUCUUCCUUUCUCUGCUGAACUACUCAAAGUGAGUACACAUUCUCUAUCUUCACUUCCCAUCUACUUCUCGAUCCAUUGCUAUCUGGCUCCAUCCCUACCACUCCACUGAAGCUGCUCACACUUUAAAAGAGCCCUGGUGACCCCAAUGUCCUACACAACCUCAAGGUGCAUUUCCCAAGCUCAUCCUAACUUGAUCUCCCUGUAGCAACUGAGAUUGUCAAUCCUUUUCCUGGAAUUUUCUCCUUUCCUAGCUUCCUGGGCAACAUUCUCUCCUACCCUUGCACGUCAAUCCUUCUCAUCUCCUCUGUCAUUAUUUUCAGCCUUCUGUAAGCGUGGCUGGGAGACCUCAACCAUUCCCACAACUUCAACUACCACUCAUACUUACUGCCCCUAGACAGAAACUCUUCUGAACUUCAGACUCAUAUCUCACUGUCUGCUAACUGCCACAGAGCCCUCAAGUUCAAUAUGACCCAAAACACACUUGGUAUCUCCCCCACCAAAAACAAACAAACAAAAAAAAGUUCUUCUUCUAUAUUCUCUCUUUGCUAUUGGCACCACCAUCCACUCAAAAUAGAAAACUGAGUCAUCCGCAACAACUCCCUCUCUUGUUCUCAACAACCAAUUUAGUCAUUAUGUCUGGUUAAUUCUGUUUCUCCAGUCUCUCUCAGAUUCAUCCUGUCCUCUCUAUCCCCACUGACCUAAUCCUUAGCUCAGCCCUAAACCAUGUCUAUGAUAUUACAAGAGUCUCCCGAUGUCCCUGAACCAGGUUCUCCCCCUUCAAUUUCCACAUUUAGCUUCCCAAAAUACAAUCAUGUCAUCUUCCUGCCUAAAAGUCUCCAGUGGCUUCUCUGCCCACAAAAUGAAAUCUUUUUAGCACUGCACUACAGGCCAUUAACAACCUGGCCUUGACCAAGCACAGUGGCUACACCUGUAAUCCUAGCACUCUGAGAGCCCAAGGCGGGCAGAUCACUUGAGGCCAGGAGUUUGAGAUCAGCCUGGACAACAUGGUGAAAGCCUGUCUCUACUAAAAAUACAAAAAUUAGCUGGGUGUGGUGGUGGUGCAUGCCUAUAGUACCAGUUACUCAGGAGGCUAAGUAGUCCCACCUGUAGUAGCUAUAGUCCCAACUACUCAGGAGGUUGCAGUGAGCCAAAAUCUCACCACCACACUCCAGCCUGGUUGAC
rnacentral:lncRNA from 1 species